UGACUCUGAGAGAAGGGCCUGAAAAGGAGAGGAAGGGAGGAGGUGGUCAGAUCCCUGGGAAGGAGCAGGGAGGGAGGGGGCUGCUGGCCCAGGAAUGACUGUCAGAGACACAUCCUGGAGGCCACAAUUCCACCCUGUCAAUUAUUCCCAGAAAUUCCAAAAACUCCUUUAAAGGAGCAAGUGCAGGGCAUGAAAGGGAGGAGCCAUGCUAGAGGAGACCCUGGGAAUCGGGGAAUGAUUACAGGCUGUGACCUCACUGGCGCAGCACCUCUCAGCGGCAGUGGAAACCACAGCCUAGUCUUCUCACCACUGCAGACCAGAAUCCUGCCCUGGGCCUUGCGUGGUCUGCCUCACUCUGCCAUGGGCUGCAGGCUCCUCUGCUGUGUGGCCUUCUGCCUCCUCCAAGCAGGUCCCUUGGACACAGCUGUUUCCCAGACUCCAAAAUACCUGGUCACACAGAUGGGAAAUGACAAGUCCCUUAAAUGUGAACAAAAUCUGGGCCAUGAUACUAUGUAUUGGUAUAAACAGGACUCUAAGAAAUUUCUGAAGAUAAUGUUUAGCUACAAUAAUAAGGAGCUCAUUAUAAAUGAAACAGUUCCAAAUCGCUUCUCACCUAAAUCUCCAGACAAAGCUCAUUUAGAUCUUCACAUCAAAUCCCUGGAGCUUGGUGACUCUGCUGUGUAUUUCUGUGCCAGCAGCUAA